UCCGAAUUGGUGUAGGGGUUAACAUUGCCGCCUCUCAGAUUAUGUAAUCAGGUCGCGGCAGCCCGGGGUUCGAUUCCCCGAUUCGGAA